rnacentral:rRNA from 1 species
UGGGGAAUAUUGCACAAUGGGCGCAAGCCUGAUGCAGCCAUGCCGCGUGUAUGAAGAAGGCCUUCGGGUUGUAAAGUACUUUCAGUCGGGAGGAAGGUGGUAAGGUUAAUAACCUUGGCAAUUGACGUUACCGACAGAAGAAGCACCGGCUAACUCCGUGCCAGCAGCCGCGGUAAUACGGAGGGUGCAAGCGUUAAUCGGAAUUACUGGGCGUAAAGCGCACGCAGGCGGUUGAUUGAGUCAGAUGUGAAAUCCCCGGGCUUAACCCGGGAAUUGCAUCUGAUACUGGUCAGCUAGAGUCUUGUAGAGGGGGGUAGAAUUCCAUGUGUAGCGGUGAAAUGCGUAGAGAUGUGGAGAAAUACCGGUGGCGAAGGCGGCCCCCUGGACAAAGACUGACGCUCAGGUGCGAAAGCGUGGGGAGCAAACAGG